GUGGGGAAUAUUGGACAAUGGGCGAAAGCCUGAUCCAGCAAUGCCGCGUGAGUGAAGAAGGCCUUAGGGUUGUAAAGCUCUUUUACCCGGGAAGAUAAUGACUGUACCGGGAGAAUAAGCUCCGGCUAACUCCGUGCCAGCAGCCGCGGUAAUACGGAGGGAGCUAGCGUUGUUCGGAAUCACUGGGCGUAAAGCGCACGUAGGCGGCUUUGUAAGUUAGAGGUGAAAGCCCGGGGCUCAACUCCGGAACUGCCUUUAAGACUGCAUCGCUUGAAUCUGGGAGAGGUAAGUGGAAUUCCGAGUGUAGAGGUGAAAUUCGUAGAUAUUCGGAAGAACACCAGUGGCGAAGGCGGCUUACUGGACCAGAAUUGACGCUGAGGUGCGAAAGCGUGGGGAGCAAACAGGAUUAGAUACCCGAGUAGUCC
rnacentral:rRNA from 1 species